AUCAGUGGAAAGGCCACAUGAGGACAAAGCAGCCAUCUAGCAGCCAGAAGGAGAGCCCUCACCAGAAACUGAACACUGCUGGAAUCUUUAUCUUGAACUCUCCAGCCUCUAGAAUGAUGAGAAAAUAAAGGCCAAGUGCACACAGAGCACCUCACUGGAAGAAUCUGAGUCACCUCAUCCUUCUGAAACAAUUCUGGAAGUCUACCACCAUCUGCACAGCUUUCGUGGCAGCAAAUUAAUCCAGGGAAAAAUAAGCAAAUAAGACUGGCUCAGGGAAACACAGCAAGUAAGUGAAAAAUCCUUGAAUUAAACAAUUUAAGAAGACAUUGAGUGUGGGAACUUAGAAGAGUGGGUAAAGUAAAAAGAAGAAAGAAAACCUCAAAUACAAAAUCAAUGUAAACAGACAUCUUGCUCAGGUGGCUUACCCUGUUGUUACUUAUCUAGUAUUUAAAUGUCCAAGUGUCUGUUUCUUUGGAGAAAAAACUUUAUAGAAAGUACCUCCUUCAUAGCGCUGUUUAUAAGAAAAUGCGCAUCUGACAGGAAGUCUAUUUUUUGAGGACUGUGAUCUGCAGAGAAAACACUUAGAAGGACACAAUCAAAGUCAAAAGCCUAUACAUUUUGUGGAUAAGUGAUCCAAACCUAAGACAGUUACAAAGAAAAUGGCUCUCAGCUAUUUACAGCCAGACUUCAGGCCUUCUGUGGAUUUCUUUGGCAUUACCUCACUAAGUUAAUAUAUCAUCACUUGACAUUUAAUAAUAAAUACCUGAUGAAAUUA
rnacentral:lncRNA from 1 species